rnacentral:miRNA from 1 species
UUUAACCAUAGGCAGCCCAAUGUUAUGGUUGCCUGCCUGCGCGCGGGCGAGGCAUUGUAUAGUUGUGUUAAUACAACUAUACAAUGCCUCGCCCGCGCGCAGGCAGGCAGGCAGGCAACCAUAACAUUGGGCUGCCU